rnacentral:rRNA from 1 species
UACGUAGGGACCAAGCGUUGUUCGGAUUUACUGGGGCGUAAAGGGCGCGUAGGCGGCUUAACAAGUCACUUGUGAAAUCUCCGGGCUUAACUCGGAACGGCCAAGUGAAACUGUCAAGCUAGAGUGCAGAAGGGGCAAUCGGAAUUCUUGGUGUAGCGGUGAAAUGCGUAGAUAUCAAGAGGAACACCUGAGGUGAAGACGGGUUGCUGGGCUGACACUGACGUGAGGCGCGAAAGCCAGGGGAGCAAACGGG